rnacentral:rRNA from 1 species
GCGUGUGUGAAGAAGGCCUUCGGGUUGUAAAGCACUUUUGGCGGGAGCGAAACGGCGUUUGCUAAUACCAGACGCUAAUGACGGUACCCGCAGAAUAAGCACCGGCUAACUACGUGCCAGCAGCCGCGGUAAGACGUAGGGUGCAAGCGUUAAUCGGAAUUACUGGGCGUAAAGCGUGCGCAGGCGGCUCUGUAAGACAGGUGUGAAAUCCCCGGGCUUAACCUGGGAACUGCACUUGUGACUGCAAGGCUAGAGUGUGUCAGAGGGAGGUGGAAUUCCGCGUGUAGCAGUGAAAUGCGU